CCGACCAGAGGGGUGAGAGUCCCGUAGGUGAAGGGGAGUGAUGUGGGAAGUAUCCUGAGUACCACAAGGCACGCUAACCUGGUGGGAAGCUGGGACGACCACGUUCCAAGGCUAAAUACACUUGACGACCGAUAGCGCAAGAGUACAGUGAUGGAAAGGUGAAAAGAACCCCGGCGAGGGGAGUGAAAGAGAAUCUGAAACCGUAUGCUUACAGACGGUCAGAGGGGGUAAAACCCUGAUGGCGUGCCUAUUGGAGAAUGAGCCCGCGAGUCAAUAGCUGUGGCCAGCUUAAGGGAGUGACACCCGGAGGCGAAGCGAAAGCGAGUCUGAAUAGGGCGAUUAGUGGCAGUUAUUGGACACGAAACCAGACGAGCUAACCAUGUGCAGGGUGAAAGUCCGGUGACACGGACGGG
rnacentral:rRNA from 1 species